GAUGAACGCUGGCGGCGUGCCUAAUACAUGCAAGUCGAGCGAACAGAUAAGGAGCUUGCUCCUUUGACGUUAGCGGCGGACGGGUGAGUAACACGUGGGUAACCUACCUAUAAGACUGGAAUAACUCCGGGAAACCGGGGCUAAUGCAGGAUAACAUGUUGAACCGCAUGGUUCUACAGUGAAAGGCGGCUUUGCUGUCACUUAUAGAUGGACCCGCGCCGUAUUAGCUAGUUGGUGAGGUAACGGCUCACCAAGGCAACGAUACGUAGCCGACCUGAGAGAGUGAUCGGCCACACUGGAACUGAGACACGGUCCAGACUCCUACGGGAGGAAGCAGUAGGGAAUCUUCCGCAAUGGGCGAAAGCCUGACGGAGCAACGCCGCGUGAGUGAUGAAGGUCUUCGGAUCGUAAAACUCUGUUAUUAGGGAAGAACAAAUGCGUAAGUAACUGUGCACGUCUUGACGGUACCUAAUCAGAAAGCCACGGCUAACUACGUG
rnacentral:rRNA from 1 species